AGGACGAACGCUGGCGGCGUGCUUAACACAUGCAAGUCGAGCGACAGCAUCCUUCGGGGUGUAUGGAGCGGCGAACGGGUGAGUAACACGUGGGCAACCUGCCCUCAGCUCUGGGAUAACUCCGGGAAACCGGGGCUAAUACCGGAUACGACUGCUCCUGGCAUCUGGGGCAGUGGAAAGUUUUUUCGGCUGAGGAUGGGCCCGCGGCCUAUCAGCUUGUUGGUGGGGUCACGGCCCACCGAAGGCGACGACGGGUA
rnacentral:rRNA from 1 species